GCACAGGGCAGAAAAAGCACCUGUCCACAGAGCCUCAGACCUGAGCCCUGCUCCCUCUUCCCCUCUCGAGUUCAUGCUCCAGGAGGACACGUGCUUAGGGAGGUUCCCCAACUAUAAUUAGAAGCCUCCAGCCAAAAAAACAGAAGAAAACACAAAACAAAACACGGCCUGGAAGAAUGGGGAAUCCCAGAGUCCAGGCUGCCCUCUUUGCUCCACAGGCCAACAGAGGACCUUGUGAGCCUGGAGGGGAGGCGUCCCGAUGUCUUCAGUGGUCGCCCGGGGAAGCCUCUGCAAGCUAAUAAAUACUAUUUACAAAUGGGGAGGAGAAGCCAGGGAGGCAGAACUAGGGGCGUGUGGGGACACACAGACUGUGGAGAAAUCCUACAAGCAACAUGAUGGGGCAGGUUUGCCUGGAGUAGAGAAGCCUGAUUCCUUCAGGCAUUGCACUUGCGGCCUGAGAGUACGAAGGGGGCGCCUUGCUCCGGCGAAGGGACCCUGGGCCGGGGCCCAGGGCAGAGCGGCAUGGGGCGCCCGCGGGGCACCGCAGAGCCAGGCUGAGGAAGGCAGGACGUCAGUCAGUGCUUCGCCAGAUUCCAACGAGCAUCCUGGUAAAUUUUUGUGGGGCUCGAGUGAACAACAGUCAGCUCUUCUUCAAGGAGGCGGUCACACCCACCCCGGUGAGAAUCGGGCCGUAUCUUUUUGGCACUGUCGGUAG
rnacentral:lncRNA from 1 species